AGUGAGACUCCAUCUCAAAAAAGAAAAUAAAUACAUAAAUAAUAAAAUAAUAACAUAGUUUUCUUAUUUUUAAAAAUAAUAUAGUAUAUAAAUUAUUAUUUUUUAAUUAAAAGUGAAAACAACAAAUAACUUCCCAUUAUGUUGAUCCAGUGUACUGUGACAGAUGGGGAGGAGCCCCACUGCAUCUGGAGUGGGUCUUGUCUGGCCAUGUGAACUAGUUAAUAGCUCAGAAAUCAGGAUACACGCCAGGCAUGGUGGGAUUACAGGUGUGAGCAACCGCAUCCAGCCUCUAACUGAUUUUUGAAAUAUAAAUUGGGUGUGAUUCAGGGAAUGUAACAAGAGCAAUCUUAUUUGAAACAGAAAACCACAUAUUUAAGUCAGCAGCCCACAUGAUAGUAUGGUAUUGAGUAAAAAUGUAUUCUUAGGUAUUUCUUGACUCAGUGGACUUUAAUCAGUCUACUGCAAAAGCUCGUUUUAUUUAAAGGUCUGCAGUUAUAUAUAAGAAUUGUUAGUAAAACAGAUGAGCCACUUAACAAUCUAAAAAUACCUAGAUGUAGUAUUCCCAGUUGUUAAUGAAAUAUUUAUCAAGUUUGGGAUUAAAAUUAACUUAGGGCCAUCAAAAAUGCAGAUUAUCUUUAAUUUGGUUAAAUCAACCUGGGAGUAAACAGGUAAUAAUCUCAAGGUAAAUUUUUGUUUUGAUUUAUAUAAAGUCAGAUUGAGACACCCUAGUUACAAGUUUAGAAUAGGAGUGGCCUCAGCUAGGUUCAAGAAAAAGUCCUUUGUUCCUCUGUUGCUCAUUUUGUCCUCAGAAACAAAUACAAUUGAAUUAUUUUCUGUACCUUCACAAAUUUGAAGCUGACCUGAAUUUGGUACCUGCAAAUUUAAAAUGGCUAAGGUCAAAAUAGUUAAAACAGUUCCUUUAGAAUGAAUGUGUUAGCAGGGUGUAGUGGUGCACACCUGUAGUCCCAGCUACCUGAGAGGCUAAGGUAGGAGGAUUGCUUGAGCCCAGAAGUUCAAAGCUGCAGUGAGCUAUGAUCACGUCAUCAUGCUCCAGCCUGGGCAACAGAAUGAGACCUUUUCUCAAAAAAAAAAAAAUUUUUUUUUAAUUGAAUGAAUGCAAUAGGUAAUUGAGGAUCUUCUCAUAUUAAUGAGUCAACAACCCUUCAUAAUUUAAGUUUAGUUAACUGUUUUUCUCAGGGCAAUAUUUUACAUAAACUUCUAAUGAAGAAUUUUAUGGACAAGAUUUUAGUUAAGGAAAAAAUUAAUCCCACAAAAUAAAGAGAACUAUUAAAUAGAGCUCUAAACAGAAGAAACUUCCAUCAAAUCAUUUUUCCCGCUUCUUUGUGCCAUGGUUUUAGGACCAGCCAUUUAUUUAUAUGAGACAGUUUCUGGCAGACUAUCCCAAGGCAGGACAUUUUAGAUUCUGUGUAAGAAGACUGACCACUCUUUGAUGAAUGGGUAAUUCAUGGUGUAAUGUAUGAAAAAAGUAAGGCAGACAACACAAACAUCACAGGAAGCAUGGCCAUGCUAGGCUCUGAACUCUGCAGUUACACACUGUCCAACAACUCUUGGAAGAAAAAUAGAAACUGACUUUAUCUUUGCCUGUCAAGUUUGCAAAUGGAUUAGUUCAUUACAAAGGCACUUGUCGAAACAUAUUUAUUAAAAAGAGAAGCCAGCGUUGGAAAUCAUCUUGAACAUUAAAAAAAAUAGCAACUGAUACCUUGUUUAAGAAGCGAGAAAGUUUCUGCUUUUUGGAAUUGAAUUGGUUUUUAUGUUAAAGUGGUAAUGUACCAGGUCUGUUUAUAUAGGUCAGUGUUGCCCAGGUUGUGGUGGUUUGCUGUUUUUACUUUUUUAUAUAUAAAGAAUGAAAACAAUGAGAGAAUAAAUUACUGGAUAUCAUCUAAAU